GAUGAAGAACGUAGCGAAAUGCGAUACGUAAUGUGAAUUGCAGAAUUCAGUGAAUCAUCGAGUCUUUGAACGCACAUUGCGCCCCCUGGUAUUCCGGGGGCAUGCCUGUCCGAGCGUCAUUGCUGCCCUCAAGCACGGCUUGUGUGUUGGGCCUCCGUCCUCCUCCCGGGGGACGGGCCCGAAAGGCAGCGGCGGCACCGCGUCCGGUCCUCGAGCGUAUGGGGCUUCGUCACCCGCUCUUGUAGGCCCGGCCAGCGCUUGCCGACACAUCAAUCUUUUUUCCAGGUUGACCUCGGAUCAGGUAGGGAUACCCGCUGAACUUAAGCAUAUCAAUAAGCGGAGGA
rnacentral:misc_RNA from 1 species